UGGAUGAUGCAAGUGCGGGUGAGAGUGAGUGCAGAACAUGGUCCCAAGGUCAGAUUGGGUCAUCCCCUGAACAUGACAGAUAUAGCAAUUUUAGCAGUGAGCACUCUUCUGAUUUUGGGGAGGGUGAAAGAGGGAGAGUGAGACAAAUUUUUCAGGAAUGGAUGAACUGUGGUGCGACCGAAUGUGCAUCAAAUGUUUCUCAUAUGAAUAACAGUUCAAGGGCAGAGUUACUUGGUGAAACUGAACAGGAGAGAGUGAGAAUUAUAAGGGAGUGGGU
rnacentral:lncRNA from 1 species